rnacentral:rRNA from 1 species
AGUGAACGCUGGCGGUAGGCCUAACACAUGCAAGUCGAACGGCAGCACAGUAAGAGCUUGCUCUUACGGGUGGCGAGUGGCGGACGGGUGAGGAAUACAUCGGAAUCUACUUUUUCGUGGGGGAUAACGUAGGGAAACUUACGCUAAUACCGCAUACGACCUACGGGUGAAAGCGGGGGAUCUUCGGACCUUGCGCGAUUGAAUGAGCCGAUGUCGGAUUAGCUAGUUGGCGGGGUAAAGGCCCACCAAGGCGACGAUCCGUAGCUGGUCUGAGAGGAUGAUCGGCCACACUGGAACUGGGACACGGUCCAGACUCCUACGGGAGGCAGCAGUGGGGAAUAUUGGACAAUGGGCGCAAGCCUGAUACAGCCAUACCGCGUGGGUGAAGAAGGCCUUCGGGUUGUAAAGCCCUUUUGUUGGGAAAGAAAAGCAGCAGGUUAAUACCCCGCUGUUCUGACGGUACCCAAAGAAUAAGCACCGGCUAACUUCGUG